rnacentral:antisense_RNA from 1 species
AAGCUGCGAAGAUGGCGGAGUAAGGCCUGCCGCUGUAAACUGGCCUCUGGGCCGGGGGCGCACAGCCCCCGGGAGGCCGAGUGCAUCUGUUGGACCGUGCUAGGAGAAGAAAAAAAAGAGAUCGGCCAGAGGAAAGGAACUAACCGAACAUUCUUCCUCCCUACCUUACAGAGGGGAGUGGUCAUCUAUACUAAAGCAAAGUGUCAUGCGCGUCUGUGCGAAGAGACCACCAAACAGGCUUUGUGUUCCUUAUCACAGGAAGAAAAUUUUCCUUGACCUUUAGGUGCUUUUAUAUUCAUCUCAAAAACAAAAUUCUGAACUCAGGACUUGGCAAAGACGGAGUUUUGCCAUGUUGGCCAGGCUGGUCUCCAACUCCUGACCUCAGGUGAUCCACCCCCCUCAGCCUCCCAAAGUGCUAGGAUUACAGGCGUGGGCCACAGGGCCCGGUGUCUCUAUGUUGUCUCCUAGAGUGGGU